rnacentral:misc_RNA from 1 species
AUUUUCACCCAAUACAUUUGGAGGAAAAUAAUUACAAGUGAGACAUAAUAAUAAUAAUUAAAUAAGAGAUAAUAGCAAAAUCCAUCACCAACCCUCCAAAUCAAAUGUGUUUUAUGGGUUAUGGUCUAAAUUCUCCCAUAAAUUGAAUAGCAUGUGCAGAAGUAGAAAAGAUAAUAUUUUUAAUUAAAAUUCUCUGGUGAGCUUCAGGAGAAAGGGAAAAGAAAGAUAGGCAGAUAUGGCAUAUAGCUGACACAAAGAGAGGGAGAGAGAGAGAGAG